rnacentral:ncRNA from 1 species
UGGCUUUCCGAGCCUGGCGUUGCUGCAGUGGAUCGUCGACAGCCUCGAAGAGGGAAUCCGGAGCGAUCAACCAUCGCCACCGAGCUGCCCCCGCAACUGUAAACAGCGAGUCCGCUGCACAUGCGCCACUGGGCAACCGGGAAGGCCGUAGCGGAUGAAGACCUGUCAGCCAGGAGACCUGCCGACGAACGCUGGUCGCGA